rnacentral:misc_RNA from 1 species
UUCCUUGCUAAACACCUCACGGACAGAUAAAUCAGAAGUUGAUGGAGAAAUUCAAAGUAGAACAGGUAAAUUACAUGGAAUAUUUUAUCCCUAUACAUGACCCCUGAAUACUAUGUCAGUAUGUGCAUGUGUACUUUAUCAAUUGACCAGUGAAUAGAUAAAAUUACACAUCAAAACGAGUUCAUUUCCUAAAAUUUCGUCUGCUCCAUUCACCAGUUGAUCAAUGAUCAUCGGUUCACAUGGACAAAGAAAACAGCAGAAAUAUUUUAAUAGCCAGUGGAAUCUUUAUUUUGAAACAUUCUGAAUCAGGUGGAUGCUGAUAUAAUAAAAGCCUUUCCACGAACUUGUGUGAAACAUAUUGUACUGUGGUAGUGAAUCGAAUUGUUCUUUUGCAUGGAAAAAGAUAAUGAAAUGACAAUUAUUUAUAGCAAUUGUUGUUGUGUCUCAUUUCAGCAAACUAUGAUAGAAGUAAACAUUACAUUUUUUUUAAAAUGAUUAAUAUUAUGAAUUAAUCACAGGUAGUGCAAAUAUCUUACUGCGUAAUUGUUUUGUCUUUUACAUAUUGAAUGAAUGCCAAGGUCUAUAUUUACAAACACUUACCUGCAGGUAUGACUUCAUAGAGGCAUGGUUGAUAUAUAAAUGAACUCCCCAAAAAGUCAACCUAAAUGCUCCAAACUAAUGCUAUGAUGUUGGGAUCUUAUGCAAACUACAUCUUCCCAUAUGUUGCUACAGUUUAGCAUGUAGACUACAAGUUCACAUAUUUUGAAAAACAACAUAAAGAGUACAUGUACAUAUAAUUAAAAUUACCAAGUAAGUUACUUCUACUCAUGUUUUUUAUAGGCUCCUCCAAGUAUAUAUUACAUUCCCAAUUUCAUAACCAAGGAUGAAGAGCAAUACCUUUUGCAUCAUGUGAACUCAGCACCAAAGCCAAAGUGGACUCAGUUGUCAAAUCGAAGACUGCAAAACUGGGGUGGGUUACCUCAUCCAAAGGGAAUGGUGGCUGAGGAAAUCCCACAGUGGCUAAAGGUGUACAUGGAAAAAGUGGCAGCCCUGGGAUUUUUUGGCGACAAAUUGCCAAACCAUGUUCUGGUUAAUGAGUACCUAGCAGGACAAGGAAUUAUGGUAAAUAUCUAAAUUGAUAUCAUUUAAAUCUUAUGAUAUUAGAUGAAUGAAAAUUAAAAUCUUGGCAUCAGUCUAUAAGAUGUUGAAAUAUGUAUAGCUACAUGUAUAUUCGUAGCCUCAUGAAGAUGGCCCCCUGUAUUACCCGGUUGUGUCUACAAUUAGUUUGGGAUCACACACUUUGCUAGAGUUUUAUCGACCCUUGGACUCAAGUGAUCAAUCCUGUGAUGACCAGCAACAGCAAACUUCCUUUGAGGACCGAUUCCUAACAUCUAUUCUUUUGGAACCUAGAAGCCUUGUGUUUGUUUGUGAGGAUAUGUAUAAAACUUACCUACAUGGAAUAAGUGAGCGUACAGUGGACAAAAUCAGCAACUCUAUAGCUAACAUUGAGAUGUGCGAGAUGGCUCAGUCAGUAGAAGCUUUAACACGGACCACUAGAGUGUCUCUCACAAUCAGACAUGUACCAAAAGUCUUAAAAGCUAAAUUCUUAUUUGGAAAAAAGUGAUUUUGUUGAAUUUUUAUUAAAACUGUUAAAAU